UACGUAGGGGGCUAGCGUUAUCCGGAAUUACUGGGCGUAAAGGGUGCGUAGGUGGGCUGGUAAGUCAGUGGUGAAAUCUCCAGGCUUAACUUGGAAACUGCCAUUGAUACUAUCAGUCUUGAAUACCGUGGAGGUCAGCGGAAUAUGUCAUGUAGCGGUGAAAUGCUUAGAUAUGACAUAGAACACCAAUUGCGAAGGCAGCUGGCUACACGAAUAUUGACACUGAUGCACAAAAGCGUGGGGGAUCAAACAGGG
rnacentral:rRNA from 1 species